rnacentral:lncRNA from 1 species
CUUUCAUUUUUUGGGCAGAAGUGAUCUCAACACUCCCAAAGAGCAUCCUCAGUCCUGAAGAGCCUCAUCCUGCUGGGAAAACCAGAGCUACCUGUGCAAACACCUGAAAUGGGGAAUUUCAGGGAGCUCUUUUAAUUUCUUUUCAUUUUAAUUUUAAUUUAGUUCUUUGGGACAUUAUGAUCCAGGAUUUUCAAAAUUUUUGGAAAGUAAAUUACAUUCCCUCCAGCAAGUAGAGGAUUUCCCUGUGUGUUAAUAAUAGCAAUAAACUGAUUAUUCCCCCUGACAAAAGCCAAGCUGCUUGGCACUGCUGUUGUACAGGGGUAGGAGUUCACUCUCAUUAAAUGAAUUUUUGCUCUAGUUUAUUUUCCACAUUUGCCUUUUCUAUUCUCACUUCUUCCUCAUAAGCAGAAUUGAGAGUGUUUUUUCAAGAAUCCCAGAACAUUAUGAGUAUUUUUGAAUUUAGGAUAAAAAGUGCCUUAGUCCCUUUAUUUCUGUGAUUUACCCUCCUAAGUCACCCAGGCUGCUUCCAAGGAAAUCCAUGGGGAGCUCUGAGAGUGUCUCCCCACUUUCUGUGGGAUAGAGAGAAAUUGGGGAGUGCCCACAGACCAGAGCUUGUAGAUAACCACAGACAGGUGAGUUAGUGAAUAAUUCUGAUUUUGGGAGAGUCUCAUAUGUUUUUAAAGCAGAAUGAGGAAAAUGUGAGGAAGCACCUCCAAACAGAUCACCCCAUAAAAUUCGUAUCAAGAUGGGCAUCAUGAUUUCCAGAGGAUGGAUGAGGGAAAUGGAUCCCACACAUGGGAUCCUGAACUGGAUCAACCCAAGUGUUGAGUUUAGACACUCCUGCCUUAGGGAGGGUUUUUGUGUUCCCUUGCAGUACCCUUCCUCUGCAGAGAUCAGCUUCAAGAAGAUGUCCUGGGACCCCAAGAGAGGCUUUGUCAUCCCCUCCCACUCCUUCGUGCCCUCCGGGAUCCUCACAUGCUCAGCCCACGUCAAUGGCAGCGUCUUCAACUCCUACUACAUGGCCCAGAGACUGGAACUUGGACUGGCGCCACUCCUGGUUUUGAAAAAAGACCAAGUGCUGAGGUGGUACAAAACAGAAGUGUUUUAUUCAAACCCCACCAAGGCUUUGUUUGCUUGGAUUGAGCUGUAUUUACAUUAAAACAACUGCUGGUUCAGGACAAAGCAAACAGCAGCUUUCUUUUUGCUUCUGGUCAUUAACCACGUGUGAUUGUCGUAUAAAAACCUCACUACACUGCUAAUUCACACCUUUGCUUUUUAUAGAUUUUCUCUUGGUGAUUUACUACAUAAUUUCCCUUAGAUUUACAGCUGAGCUUCAGCUCAUAAUUAAAACCUGAAUUUGAAGCAACCAAACAUUAAAUUUUUGAGUGCUGGGUAUUUAUAUGAAACCAAUUAGAAUUUAUUUUUCUUUUGUUUUCCAUGUAUGUUCCUUAUCCCCUCAUAUAUCUUCUAUUUACUUGGACUUCAUUCCCAUUAGCUCAUGGCAUCCUUCUUUACAAUCAGCACUCAGCUUUGAACAACAGGCUUGUAAAUUUGUGUGGCAGCCAAAUAAAAGUCCGGUAAAUCUCUCUUUUUCUCCUUUU